UACAGAGGUCCCAAGCGUUGUUCGGAUUCAUUGGGCGUAAAGGGUGCGUAGGCGGCGCGGUAAGUCGGGGUGUGAAAUCUCGGGGCUUAACUCCGAAACUGCAUUCGAUACUGCCGUGCUUGAGGACUGGAGAGGAGACUGGAAUUUACGGUGUAGCGGUGAAAUGCGUAGAUAUCGUAAGGAAGACCAGUGGCGAAGGCGGGUCUCUGGACAGUUCCUGACGCUGAGGCACGAAGGCCAGGGGAGCAAACGGG
rnacentral:rRNA from 1 species